CACAGACCACAUGACUGUUUAUUAUCACUAUAAUAAAUAAAUCAGGAUACCAUUGAUGUGCUUUCUUAUAUAGAGGGUUGUCAGGAAGACCAAUGCACUAACCUUUCACUGAACUAUUUGCAUGUAUGCAGAUGUGGGCUCUCCAUGCUCUUUUCACGGUUGUGGAUCUAGCAGGCACAUUGUACCACAGUCACUUGGAGGCUAGUUUCAAUCUGCUGCAACGUUUGCUGCUCUCAACGCCACACACACAUGUGGAAGUACAGCAAAGCCUGGGCCGCUGAUUUAAUACCCUCAUCACCUCCGUGGGACAUGAUAUGCAAGUUGCAGCUGCUGCUGUAGAAACUCAACAGGAGGAGGAUGGAGAUCGAUGACCACUCCUCUGCAUUCCUCGCAAAGACUGAAUCCAGCGGCCCCUUCAAUAACCUGCGCUGGUCCACUCGUGUGUUUUCCAUGGAGUGUGUGUGUGUUGUAUAAUAGCACAGUGUGAGAAUGGAGACAGGGCUCACUUCAACAUGACACUUGCUCAAGAACAGCGUUUACAUGAAUCUGCAGAUUUCCUGGUUCUCCACUUGGCAGACUGCAUGGGUUUCAUAGCAGCCACAGACCACAGCGAUCAGCUCCGACUGGCUGGUUUACAAACACUGCUUGUCACUAUCCAGAAAUUCUUCAGUGUGCCAGAGCCUGAGUUCCCUGGACAUGUCAUUCUGGAGCCAUGUCAAGCAAUGUUGGAGCUGCACUCAAAGACCUGCCUUCCUUGUGGACGCCCCUCCUAAAGUCUGCCAGGUUUGCAGUGCAUGGAUCGCCAGUGGGGUCAUCAGCGACCUGCGUGACCUGAGAAGGGUACAUCAGCUUUUGGCUUCCUCUCUCGCCAAAGCUCAAAGCCUGGGAAGAGGUGUAUAUCACAGCGGUACAGGGCUCCGGGCAGCCAUCUUCAGCAGCAGAAUGAUGAGGCUGGGACUGCAGGUCCAGCAGGGGCUGGAUUGCUCAAACAUGUCCAGACUGAGCCGCCUGUGGCUGGCUGCCCUUCAGGACCAUGCCCUGCUCACCCUGCCCUCACAAUACUCCAGUCAGCUCCCCUCCACAGGCUUUGAGUGUGGAGCUGCUCAGCAUUCACUCGGGAAUCUCCCAGCAUUCAACCGGCUGUGCUGGAACUGGUGAAACAGAUUGUUUGUGCUGCUCCGGAUUAUGUCAAAGAGAAAUGUUGCAGCGCAGAGGUUGAUGAUGGUGCAGCAGAGAAGGAAACUAUUCCUGAGUUUGGUGAGGGGUGAGACACUAGUCUCUCUUGUGAGAAAGCUUCCAUAGCUCAGCCCCAAACUGGCUGGCAGCCCUACAGGGCAGGGAGGACAGACCUGCUCCCUCAGCAACACUGACUGUAGACUCGUCACAUCUGCUCAGAACUGCCCUCCAUCUGUUCACCAGAGGUGCUCUAUCUGCUGCUGGGGGUGUUGAGAGAGGCGGUGAAGGGCUCUGUCGGAGCAGAGAGUGGACAGCUGGUAUCAGGCAUCCUGCAGGCCCACGAGCAGAGCUGAGAAGAGUCUUGGGCCUGGACUGAACUGCUGCGAUGUGCACUGCAUACAGUCUCUGGUUUUUCAUGGAUUGUUUUGGAUGGAUAAAAUGGAGCCUGGAGUAGAUGAGGUCACCGUGUUGACAUCUCUCACCAUCUUCCUGCUGUACGCCAGUGCUGAGGAGACCACAGUUGAGUCCCUGCAGACGUGCUGGAUCCAGACAUUCAGAGCCAGUCUGGAAUCUAAGGACCCUGUGAAUUUUGCUGUAAAUUUCAAAUCUUCGGAGCCGCAUCGUCAACGGUCGAGGAGAUUAACGUUAAAGACAAGAGGAGUGAUUCACAACUCUGGAGACACUUUGACAAAUGGGCACUGGAUGCUGAGUAUUGAAGGCGAGGUGGUGUGUGAGGGCACUCAGCCCAGUUUCCUGUCCGGCCUUGCCACUCUGUUUGCUGCUAAUUACUAGUUUAAUCUUGAGUAUCAGGAGGAAGCAGUGUGUACCUUGGAGUUCAUUCAAAGGUGCUUUGUGGGCAUAAAUCCAGAGAGAGGACCCAAAGCCAAGGGAAAAGUGCCAUCGAAA